rfam:Schistosoma mansoni, Puerto Rico, WGS project CABG01000000 data, contig: 0179
CCACUGCUGAGGAGUUCCAUAAUAAGACGAAACAAUCGUCCAGUGC